rnacentral:rRNA from 1 species
UCGUUGUAGCAAUACGAUGGAAAGUUUAGUGGCGAACGGGUGCUUAACACGUGGGCAACCUGCCAGGAAGUGGGGGAUAGCUCGCCGAAAGGCGAAUUAAUACCGCAUGUGAUUAGAGAGGACAUCCUUUCGAAAUUAAAGUCGGGGCAACCUGACGCUUCUUGUGGGGCCCGCGGCCUAUCAGCUAGUUGGUGGGGUAAAGGCUCACCAAGGCUUUGACGGGUAGCUGGUCUGAGAGGACGACCAGCCACACUGGGACUGAGACACGGCCCAGACACCUACGGGUGGCAGCAGUCGAGAAUUUUUGACAAUGGGGGAAACCCUGAUCGAGCGACGCCGCGUGGAGGAUGAAGGUCUUCGGAUUGUAAACUCCUGUCAUUGGGGAACAAGGUGCAUACUUUAACUGCGUGUGCAUUGAUAGUACCCGAAGAGGAAGAGACGGCUAACUCUGUGCCAGCAGCCGCGGUAAUACAGAGGUCUCAAGCGUUGUUCGGAUUCAUUGGGCGUAAAGGGUGCGUAGGCGGCGCGGUAAGUCGGGUGUGAAAUCUCGGGGCUUAACUCCGAAACUGCAUUCGAUACUACCGUGCUUGAGGACUGGAGAGGAGACUGGAAUUCUCGGUGUAGCA